GCGAACGCAAUAGAACAACAAAA
rnacentral:piRNA from 1 species